rnacentral:tRNA from 1 species
GGGCCGUUAGCUCAAUUGGUAGAGCAACUGACUCUUAAUCAGUAGGUCGCAGGUUCGAUCCCUGCACGGCCCA